rnacentral:rRNA from 1 species
UACGAAGGGGGCUAGCGUUGCUCGGAAUUACUGGGCGUAAAGGGCGCGUAGGCGGAUAGUUUAGUCAGAGGUGAAAGCCCAGGGCUCAACCUUGGAAUUGCCUUUGAUACUGGCUGUCUUGAGUACGGGAGAGGUGAGUGGAACUCCGAGUGUAGAGGUGAAAUUCGUAGAUAUUCGGAAGAACACCAGUGGCGAAGGCGACUCCCUGGCCCGCUACUGACGCUGAGGCGCGAAAGCGUGGGGAGCAAACAGG